GAAGAUUGAAUAUGAACGCAAGUAUAUAUUUUACAUGUGCGUGUGUGUGUUAUGUGCAGGUAUAUAUGUAUGGUAUACCAAUAAGAUGAAAACAGUAAACCAGUUAGUGAACUUGAAAAGACUCAUCGAUCCCCUGCACACGGUAAAUCAUCAAACGUUCUCAUCAACAUGAAGAAAAAUAAUUGAAUCAAAACCACAGUCUAAACCGUAGUCCACAUAGAAACCUU
rnacentral:lncRNA from 1 species